rnacentral:rRNA from 1 species
CAGUAGCCGCGGGAAUACGUAGGUGGCAAGCGUUGUCCGGAAUUAUUGGGCGUAAAGGGCUCGCAGGCGGUUUCUUAAGUCUGAUGUGAAAGCCCCCGGCUCAACCGGGGAGGGUCAUUGGAAACUGGGAGACUUGAGUGCAGAAGAGGAGAGUGGAAUUCCACGUGUAGCGGUGAAAUGCGUAGAGAUGUGGAGGAACACCAGUGGCGAAGGCGACUCUCUGGUCUGUAACUGACGCUGAGGAGCGAAAGCGUGGGGAGCGAACAGGAUUAGAUACCCCCGUAGUCCCUGUCUCUUAUAC